rnacentral:rRNA from 1 species
UGGGGAAUAUUGCACAAUGGGCGAAAGCCUGAUGCAGCAACGCCGCGUGAGUGAUGAAGGCCUUCGGGUUGUAAAGCUCUGUCUUCUGGGACGAUAAUGACGGUACCAGAGGAGGAAGCCACGGCUAACUACGUGCCAGCAGCCGCGGUAAUACGUAGGGGGCAAGUGCUGUCCGGAUUUACUGGGUGUAAAGGGCGCGCAGGCGGGAUAAAAAGUCAGUGGUGAAAUCCUACAGCUUAACUGUAGAACUGCCUUUGAUACUUUUAUUCUUGAGUUCGGGAGAGAGAGACGGAAUUCCAGGUGUAGUGGUGAAAUACGUAGAUAUCUGGAAGAACACCAGUUGCGAAGGCGGUCUCUUGGUCCGACACUGACGCUGAGGCGCGAAAGCGUGGGGAGCAAACA